GAUGAAGAACGCAGCGAAAUGCGAUAAGUAAUGUGAAUUGCAGAAUUCAGUGAAUCAUCGAAUCUUUGAACGCACAUUGCGCCCCUUGGUAUUCCGAGGGGCAUGCCUGUUCGAGCGUCAUUAUAACCCCUCAAGCUCGGCUUGGUGUUGGGGCCUGCCGCACGGGCAGCCCUUAAAAUCAGUGGCGGUGCCAUCUGGCUCUAAGCGUAGUAAUUCUUCUCGCUAUAGAGUCCCGGUGGAUGCUUGCCAUUAACCCCCAAUUUCAAUGGUUGACCUCGGAUCAGGUAGGGAUACCCGCUGAACUUAAGCAUACAAUAAGCGGAGGA
rnacentral:misc_RNA from 1 species